rnacentral:rRNA from 1 species
UGAGCUAGAGUGUCGUACGGGUGCGUAGCACGUAUGCAACCUACCUUUUACAGGAGUAUAGCUCCCCGAAAGGGGAAUUAACCCUCCAUAAUAUCAUUGGAUGGCAUCAUUUGAUGAUUAAAACUGAGGUGGUAAAAGAUGGGCAUGCGUCUGAUUAGUUAGUUGGCAGUGUAACGGACUACCAAGACGAUGAUCAGUAGGGGACCUGAGAGGGUGAUCCCCCACACUGGCACUGAGAUACGGGCCAGACUCCUACGGGAGGCAGCAGUAGGGAAUAUUGGACAAUGGGUGAGAGCCUGAUCCAGCCAUGCCGCGUGCAGGAAGAAGGCGUUAUGCGUUGUAAACUGCUUUUGCCAGGGGAUAAAACGGUUCUGCGGAACUAAUUGAAGGUACCUGGUGAAUAAGCCACGGCUAACUACGUGCCAGCAGCCGCGGUAAUACGUAGGUGGCAAGCGUUGUCCGGAUUUAUUGGGUUUAAAGGGUGCGUAGGCGGCCCUGUAAGUCAGUGCUGAAAUAUCCCGGCUUAACCGGGAGGGUGGCAUUGAUACUGCAGGGCUUGAGUACAGAUGAGGUAGGCGGAAUUGACGGUGUAGCGGUGAAAUGCAUAGAUAUCGUCAAGAACACCGAUAGCGAAGGCAGCUUACCAAGCUGUAACUGACGCUGAGGCACGAAAGUGUGGGGAUCAAACAGGAUUAGAUACCCUGGUAGUCCACACUGUAAACGUUGAUGACUCGAUGUUGGCGAUAUACAGCCAGCGUCCAAGAGCAAUCGUUAAGUCAUCCA